rnacentral:rRNA from 1 species
AAUUCUAAGGUGAGCGAGCGAACUCUCGUUAAGGAACUCGGCAAAAUGACCCCGUAACUUCGGGAGAAGGGGUGCUCUUUGAGGUUCACGCUUCGAAGAGCCGCAGUGAAUAGGCCCAAGCGACUGUUUAUCAAAAACACAGGUCUCUGCUAAACCGUAAGGUGACGUAUAGGGGCUGACGCCUGCCCGGUGCUGGAAGGUUAAGAGGAGUGGUUAGCGCAAGCGAAGCUACGAAUCGAAGCCCCAGUAAACGGCGGCCGUAACUAUAACGGUCCUAAGGUAGCGAAAUUCCUUGUCGGGUAAGUUCCGACCCGCACGAAAGGCGUAACGAUUUGGGCACUGUCUCAACGAGAGACUCGGUGAAAUCAUAGUACCGGUGAAGAUGCCGGUUACCCGCGACAGGACGGAAAGACCCCGUGGAGCUUUACUGUAGCCUGAUAUUGAAAUUCGGUACAGUUUGUACAGGAUAGGUAGGAGCCUUAGAAGCGUGAGCGCUAGCUUACGUGGAGGCAUUGGUGGGAUACUACCCUAAUUGUAUUGGAUUUCUAACCCGCAGCACUUAUCGUGCUGGGAGACAGUGUCAGGCGGGCAGUUUGACUGGGGCGGUCGCCUCCUAAAGAGUAACGGAGGCGCUCAAAGGUUCCCUCAGAAUGGUUGGAAAUCAUUCAUAGAGUGUAAAGGCAUAAGGGAGCUUGACUGCGAGACCUACAAGUCGAGCAGGGUCGAAAGACGGACUUAGUGAUCCGGUGGUUCCGCAUGGAAGGGCCAUCGCUCAACGGAUAAAAGCUACCCCGGGGAUAACAGGCUUAUCUCCCCCAAGAGUUCACAUCGACGGGGAGGUUUGGCACCUCGAUGUCGGCUCAUCGCAUCCUGGGGCUGUAGUCGGUCCCAAGGGUUGGGCUGUUCGCCCAUUAAAGCGGUACGCGAGCUGGGUUCAGAACGUCGUGAGACAGUUCGGUCCCUAUCCGUCGUGGGCGUAGGAAAUUUGAGAGGAGCUGUCCUUAGUACGAGAGGACCGGGAUGGACAUACCUCUGGUGUACCAGUUGUCGUGCCAACGGCAUAGCUGGGUAGCUAUGUAUGGACGGGAUAAGUGCUGAAAGCAUCUAAGCAUGAAGCCCCCCUCGAGAUGAGAUUUCCCAACUUCGGUUAUAAGAUCCCUCAAAGAUGAUGAGGUGAAUAGGUUCGAGGUGGAAGCGUAGCGAUACGUGGAGCUGACGAAUACUA